rnacentral:lncRNA from 1 species
GUUUUUGUUCUAUUAUUAAGAUUACUUUUACUGUUGAAUGGUUUUAUGUGAUAUCCGUUUGAUUUGGCUCUGUACUUAUACAUCUCGUCAAUGUGUUUGUAUUGGCUUUCAUUUUUUGGCGAUUUGUUUUGUAUAUGUGACUCUUUGUAUUUCUUUUGUGCUUAUAACGUGACUCUGUAGAUCCCGUCAGUAUGAUAUUUGUC